AGGUAAGCUACUAAGAGCGAAUGGUGGAUGCCUUGACUGGUAAAGGCGAUGAAGGACGUACUAGACUGCGAUAAGCUACGGGGAGCUGUCAAGAAGCUUUGAUCCGUAGAUUUCCGAAUGGGGCAACCCAAUGUAUAGAGAUAUACAUUACCUAUAUAGGAGCGAACGAGGGGAAUUGAAACAUCUUAGUACUCUCAGGAAAAGAAAUCAAUAGAGAUUGCGUCAGUAGCGGCGAGCGAAAGCGCAAGAGGGCAAACCCAGUGCUUGCACUGGGGGUUGUAGGACUGCAAUGUGCAAGAGGUAAGUUUAGCAGAACAUUCUGGAAAGUAUAACCAUAGAGGGUGAUAGUCCCGUAUGCGAAAAACAAACCUUAGCUAGCAGUAUCCUGAGUAGGGCGGGACACGAGGAAUCCUGUCUGAAUCCGGGUCGACCACGAUCCAACCCUAAAUACUAAUACCAGAUCGAUAGUGCACAAGUACCGUGAGGGAAAGGUGAAAAGAACUGAGGUGAUCAGAGUGAAAUAGAACCUGAAACCAUUUGCUUACAAUCAUUCAGAGCCCUAUGUAGCAAUACAGGGUGAUGGACUGCCUUUUGCAUAAUGAGCCUGCGAGUUGUGGUGUCUGGCAAGGUUAAGCAAACGCGAAGCCGUAGCGAAAGCGAGUCUGAAUAGGGCGCUUAGUCAGAUGCUGCAGACCCGAAACGAAGUGAUCUAUCCAUGAGCAAGUUGAAGCUAGUGUAAGAACUAGUGGAGGACUGAACCCAUAGGCGUUGAAAAGCCCCGGGAUGACUUGUGGAUAGGGGUGAAAGGCCAAUCAAACUUCGUGAUAGCUGGUUCUCUCCGAAAUAUAUUUAGGUAUAGCGUUGUGUCGUAAUAUAAGGGGGUAGAGCACUGAAUGGGCUAGGGCAUACACCAAUGUACCAAACCCUAUCAAACUCCGAAUACCUUAUAUGUAAUCACAGCAGUCAGGCGGCGAGUGAUAAAAUCCGUCGUCAAGAGGGAAACAACCCAGACUACCAGCUAAGGUCCCUAAAUCUUACUUAAGUGGAAAACGAUGUGAAGUUACUUAAACAACCAGGAGGUUGGCUUAGAAGCAGCCAUCCUUUAAAGAAAGCGUAAUAGCUCACUGGUCUAGUGAUUUUGCGCGGAAAAUAUAACGGGGCUAAAGUAAGUACCGAAGCUGUAGACUUAGUUUACUAAGUGGUAGGAGAGCGUUCUAUUUGCGUCGAAGGUAUACCGGUAAGGAGUGCUGGAGCGAAUAGAAGUGAGCAUGCAGGCAUGAGUAGCGAUAAUUAAUGUGAGAAUCAUUAACGCCGUAAACCCAAGGUUUCCUACGCGAUGCUCGUCAUCGUAGGGUUAGUCGGGUCCUAAGUCGAGUCCGAAAGGGGUAGACGAUGGCAAAUUGGUUAAUAUUCCAAUACCAACAUUAGUGUGCGAUGGAAGGACGCUUAGGGCUAAGGGGGCUAGCGGAUGGAAGUGCUAGUCUAAGGUCGUAGGAGGUUAUACAGGCAAAUCCGUAUAACAAUACUCCGAGAACUGAAAGGCUUUUUGAAGUCUUCGGAUGGAUAGAAGAACCCCUGAUGCCGUCGAGCCAAGAAAAGUUUCUAAGUUUAGCUAAUGUUGCCCGUACCGUAAACCGACACAGGUGGGUGGGAUGAGUAUUCUAAGGCGCGUGGAAGAACUCUCUUUAAGGAACUCUGCAAAAUAGCACCGUAUCUUCGGUAUAAGGUGUGGUUAGCUUUGUAUUAGGAUUUACUCCGAAAGCAAGGAAACUUACAACAAAGAGUCCCUCCCGACUGUUUACCAAAAACACAGCACUCUGCUAACUCGUAAGAGGAUGUAUAGGGUGUGACGCCUGCCCGGUGCUCGAAGGUUAAUUGAUGGGGUUAGCAUUAGCGAAGCUCUUGAUCGAAGCCCGAGUAAACGGCGGCCGUAACUAUAACGGUCCUAAGGUAGCGAAAUUCCUUGUCGGUUAAAUACCGACCUGCAUGAAUGGCGUAACGAGAUGGGAGCUGUCUCAAAGAGGGAUCCAGUGAAAUUGUAGUGGAGGUGAAAAUUCCUCCUACCCGCGGCAAGACGGAAAGACCCCGUGGACCUUUACUACAGCUUGACACUGCUACUUGGAUAAGAAUGUGCAGGAUAGGUGGGAGGCUUUGAGUAUAUGACGCCAGUUGUAUAUGAGCCAUUGUUG
rnacentral:rRNA from 1 species